rnacentral:lncRNA from 1 species
CAGGCUGUUAGGCAAGCCGGCUUUAAUACAACCUCUAGGGAAGCCAGGAAAGUUGGUAUAUACUUUGUACCAAACUUUUGAAACAGUUUGAAUUCUCCAAUAAGGAAGAAAUGAAAAAGCUAGGCCGAAGGAUGAGAUGGCAUUUCAAGAGAAUAGUCGAUCAGUAUGGCAGGAAGAGGUCUCUUUGUCAAAUCCUCUAUCAUCUAAAGCUGGGUCAGAAACUUCCUUUAGGAGCAGAAGAAUUUGCAGGCCGUAGGACAAAGCUUCCAUUCUCGAAGAAACUAGCCAAGUUUGAAAACACUUAAGAGGGCUGGGUAUUGAAAGAGUCUGGCAGGAAGAAGUAUAGUACCAAGCGGCAGUAAGCCUCGAUUCGAAUUAGCAGAGAGGUCAGUUUUAGGAGGUCGGUGUCCAGUGGAGUUCAGCGAGAAACUCAAAGUAAUACAUACCUAUUUGUUGCGAUGUGAUUGCUUCGCACCUUUCAAUAUUUCUUUUACUUCUAGUGCUAUCUUCCAUCCGUUCCAGUUCAUGGAUCUUCUUCUUGUUGUAGAACGAGAAUUGGAUUGAUUCCUAUAGUUCUCUAUUUGCAAAUUCAUUACUUAAUAACGAUCUUAUAGGCUUUGUCUCAGGCAGAUCUGGAGCGACUGGAUUGAACAGAAAGUACAUACACACACUAACACAUCAUAAAAGGAAAGAGAUGAGAGGAGACUCGAAAAAAGUGUUUCUUGACUAUUUUUUCGGAAGCAAGGGGCAAAAUAAUGCCUAAAUUCUAAAGGAAAGACCCUCGCCUCGCUGCCCAAUAAACCAUUAUUUGCUGCUCAAGACAUCGGCCAAUGUGUGGCUCCACCAUCUGUCAUUUCAUGCUGGUAGGGUAGGGAAGGACAUACUGACCGACCUACCGGGAGAAAAGGCUUUCUACGUCCGCUUCCCCAGUCCCGCUAAUCCAGAAGUCAGUUCAUCUUCCCGGGUCAUGCUUCUUUCUCCGUGCCAUCACAGGUGGGUGGUGCUGGCGAAACUACAACGACUGCUUUUGCUACUAGUGCGGAAGCAUAUUCGUCUGUGUUUGUGAGUCACCUCGUCUCGAUCAGUCUAUUCCCUGGUUAUUUUGUAGGCACACAUCUGAGGUAUCCAUAUAGGGAGGGAUCGCCCAUACAUAGUGCGAAUGCCCAUUGGCAAUGUCGCAAGAGUUCAGGGACGGCCGUAGCUAAAUUUCCAUUGCUAAUCUUACAUGUUCCCACGAACAAAACAAAAAAGAAGAAAAGGCUAUUCCUUAGACACAGAGGUGGGAUUAAGGCGUCAUGCGGAACUCCAACAACAUAGACCAGAUGACUUAUUGAAAAUAGGUUGAGGAGCCUGAUCCUGGAGCUGAGCAAGCAUGGGCGCGAUCCACAUCGAGUGGAACUACUAUAACUAUAGCUAGUGGAAGUACCAUCCAUUCCGCAGUGGGCGGACGUUCUUUUCAAUCCUAUGAAGCUCAUCAGUAUUUCUGUCAACAAUUCUUUAGUAUGAUGGCUGUUGGUCUUAAUUUGAGUCAACACUAUUAAAAUGAAUAGAAAAAGGAACCAAAGACUGAGCAACUACUUCUAGAAUGAUGUUAUAGAAAAUACAAGACACAGUGAUCCUCAUCCGGCAUAAUAGCAGUACAUGAAUUCCACCCAGACGAAAUGGACUGACUCUCUAUGGCAACUAUGGAUCUCAACAUCAAAAAAAAGAAAGUGCUUAUCCAUCCUUGGAAGAACUAGCUCCCUCCCUGUCUUUGUCGGAACUUGAAUCGAGGUAGGCAAAAGAAUCCUUACUCGGAACGAGCCCAAGAUAAAGGGUCUAGUCCAAUUUUAGUCUUGGUUGUACAUCGGUACUACGCACGGUAGGCAUUUCUUCCAGUUAUCGGGACUUGCACUUGCUUUUUCCGGCCUUAGUGGUAUUUCAAUGAUUUUAUUGCCCUAGCCCCGUCCUUCCAUCAUAGCUUAGUUAGCUAGCUAGCUACUUCAUUUUGUGCUAAAGCCCCUCGAUACAUAAGUGCUCUCAUUCCUAGAACCCACCCGGGGCGAGUUGGUAACCGUAAACCAUUGAUCUACGAAUUCAAGUGAAUGAAAAUGUAUAUAGAUUUUUUCCUACUUCUGUAACAUAACUUCUCUACGGAUAAGCUUCAACUACUGAAUGAAGAGAUAGUGAGACCUACCUAGCAACGAGAAAUACUAGAACUGAAAUUCCUUGCCUUGACUCGCCUACUUCUCCAGUCUUUGAUGUUGCUUUCCUGGCUUUCGAUUCCUAUUCGUCUGAUCGACCAUGGAAAGAAGAAGCUUUGGCACUGACACCUUACUUUCUUUCGCAUAGGGCUUUAACAGAUAAACUCUUUACAAUACUUUAUGCUGUAAAACAAGAGGAAGAAAAGAAAGGAUCCAUGAUGUGCAUGUGCCUUUUGGUCUUGUACCAACGCUCUUUAAUAACGAGGCUUUCCAGCUUCUGGGAAAACCCUAUCCCCCAUCUUUCACUUCCCCUUUAG